AUCAUGGAUACCAGCCGUGUGCAGCCCAUCAAGCUGGCCAGGGUCACCAAGGUGCUGGGCAGGACCGGCUCGCAGGGACAGUGCACGCAGGGCUUCCGGAUUGUCUGAGCUCUCACCAAGGCCCUGCUGACCGGCUCCGAGCUUCGUCCACCCCGUUCCCGUGGCUCGUGGGUUCCUCUCUUAGUAUCUCUUGAAGAACCCAAGUCUGCUUUCCAUUCCUCAGUGCUUAUCGGGGGCCCCCUCUUGACUCUUUCCCGUCCUCUCGGUGGGC